GAGUUUGAUCCUGGCUCAGAUUGAACGCUGGCGGCAGGCCUAACACAUGCAAGUCGAGCGGAUGGCGGGAGCUUGCUCCUUGAUUCAGCGGCGGACGGGUGAGUAAUGCCUAGGAAUCUGCCUGGUAGUGGGGGACAACGUUUCGAAAGGAACGCUAAUACCGCAUACGUCCUACGGGAGAAAGCAGGGGACCUUCGGGCCUUGCGCUAUCAGAUGAGCCUAGGUCGGAUUAGCUAGUUGGU
rnacentral:rRNA from 1 species